UCCCUCUGGCACCAGCACAAAUGCCAGUUCUUGGUCUGGCCAUUAAGGAGAUAUUGUAAGUGAAAAUGUAAGCUGAUCCUUCCAAGAGAAUGAACAGCACAUCCCUCAACAUGAUGUCUUCUGCCUUCAUCUUCCCAGCUGAACUCCAAGAUUUUGACUUGAGGUGACAGCUGAAAAGCACCAGAAACCUUUGGAAUUUAAGAACUAUAUAUUACUAUAAAGGAAGAAAGUUAAGUUUCAGCAAUAGAAGAUCUUUGAAGGGUAAGUGUCCUGAUAAAAUCUCAUUAUUAGAUAAAAGCAGCAAAUGGCAAACUAUAGGCAAAGCCAGCAUAGAUUCAUGAUGAUUUCGGAGGACUGUGAGCAAUAAACCUUUUAUCUAAUCUUGAAAAAUCCAUGAAAGUAUCGGUCCAGCCCUAAAACAAGAGAGAGCAAACUUGUGGGAAAAAAGGAAUCACAAAAAAGCCAUCUGUCUGAAUGUGACCCAAGAAAUCUAAGUCCACCCAUGUAGUUCUUGCAUGUUUUUCAGUACUGCUAAUGGAUUACAUACUGUUUAAAAUAUGAAUUGCAGAAUAAAUCAUACGAGAAUGACAAUUAUGAGCCAGAUUCUGCUCUCAGCUGCAGUGGAAUUACAGACCAUGCUUUCUGCUUUCUGCUGCUGCAAUGUGUGAAUUUAAUAAUUACUCUAGAUUUACAUUGGUGUAAUUGAGAGCAGAGUUGAGCUCUGUGAAUUCAAGAAAAGCAUUGUAAGAAGAAUAUAGCCUAUAUUUGGUUAGGUCAUGCCAGAGUAUGGAAUGGAUUUUCACAAGCCCUUUAUGCACCCCUAUUAAUUCUGUAACAGACACUCCACUAUAUAACAUACAUGCCUUAAAAUCUACCUUUAAAAUAGUCUUGCACUGGGAUAUGCUAAAUAUCAUGAGCUCCCUUUAGGGGAGACAUGAAAAGUUAUAAACUGUGAGCCCUAUUCUAGAUUUGUGUUCAGGAAAAACUCCCAUUGAAGUCAAUGGAAGUUUUGGCUGACUAAAGAUAGCAGGAUACACAGGUCCUUGUGUUAUAACAAUUAUAUUGAAAUAUGGAAUUUCACUACAGUUACUGUGCCAGUAAAAAAUACAUAAUCGGAUAACAUCAUCCCCAUGUGUAAGGUCACUAAUUCUGUAGUUUUCUUUUUUCCAAGUGAAUUCUAGUAUUGAGGAAGUCAGAGGCUAUGCUAAAAGGAAGUCACUAGUAUGCCUAUUGGUGACUUUUCUCCUGUUUGUACACAAUUUUUAAUUAUACAUUAACAAUUGAAAAUGAAAAUUUUCUAAUUUACCUUCCUUGAAAAUCUAAUUGUAUUGGAUACUUAUGAAAGCUCAGAGGAAAAGUCCUAAGAGGACGUAGAACUUUAUCCUCUGAUGCAAUAUUUACAUACAGAACAAUGAGUACUCAGUUUUUUGUUCUAAAAAUAGCAGCAAAUAUUUGUUGUUUCUUAUAAUUCAAAACCCCAGUUCUGCAAGGCUUUAUGCAUAUAUUUAUUUUUGAGCACUUCAGUUGUCCCACUGAAUUCAGUGGUAAUGCUGAUGUGCCAAGUAUUAAGCAUGUGCAUAAAUCUUUGCAGAGCAAGCUUAAGGCUCUAUUUAGAGGGCUUGGGGUUUGUUUGGGUUUUUUUAAGAGAAAAUAUGGUGGGUGUGUCCCAACAAAAAUGCCACAUAUCACUCUAGUUGUAUUCCCAGCUGACUGAAAUCUGUUUGAUGAGUAAUUAGGAGACUUUCUCUUUGGUUCAUUUGACAUACUUUACAAAACAUGUAAAUCUGUUAAAAAUCAUGUAUGUUUUUAUAUGCCACCUUUCUUAAGUGAUGUGUAGUAUCUGCUAAAUGCUAGGCUCUUAGAACCUGUUUUUAUUAGUCUGAAAACAAACACAAAUUACACUGUAAUGAUUAAAGAAGAAUUCUCUCUGUUAACGUAAUGUUUAUUUGUUUAUCAAUUUGGUUUGACCAGGAACAUUAUCUAUAUUUUUAAAAAAUCACAAAGCAAUACAAAUAGUACAUUAAUACUGAUUGUUUUAUUAAUUAUUGCAAAACAACCCAAAUGUAUCCUGUUUUAAGUGCUAGUUGAACAUUUCAGUGAAUAGAAAAAGGGAAGAUAAAGUUCCUAAUGAAAGGAGAAUAGAAGCUAAUGCAGAAUGAAGCCUUAAAAUAUUCAAACAUGUAUUUGAGCUUCAUCUUUUUUAAACUUACAAGACCUUAUGGUUGUUUAUACAGUGUAAGCUACUGAUUCAAUGUUAUUAACAAUA